AUUGAACGCUGGCGGCAUGCUUUACACAUGCAAGUCGAACGGUAACAGGCCGCAAGGUGCUGACGAGUGGUGAACGGGUGAGUAAUGCAUCGGAACGUGCCCAGUCGUGGGGGAUAACGCCGCGAAAGCUGCGCUAAUACCGCAUACGAUCUAUGGAUGAAAGCGGGGGACCGUAAGGCCUCGCGCGAUUGGAGCGGCCGAUGACAGAUGAGGUAGUUGGAGGGGUAAAGGCUCACCAAGCCAACGAUCUGUAGCUGGUCUGAGAGGACGACCAGCCACGAUGUGACUGGGACACGGCCCAGACUACUACGGGAGGCAGCAGUGGGGAAUUUUGGACAAGGGGCGCAAGCCUGAUCCAGCAAUGCCGCGUGCAGGAAGAAGGCCUUCGGGUUGUAAACUGCUUUUGUACGGAACGAAACGGUCCUGGUUAAUACCUGGGGCUAAUGACGGUACCGUAAGAAUAAGCACCGGCUAACUACGUGCCAGCCGCCGCAGUAACAC
rnacentral:rRNA from 1 species